UUGAACAAUAGAAAUAGAUUAGAUUGUUGCUGGCUACUUUACACAGGUAGCAUCGUGCACAUCUAAACUAUAAACUACACACACACACCCUUGUGAACCUAUUGUAGAUCGCGAGAUCUAUGUCUUUAUUUAUCAUCACCUCUAUUGUAUGUCUAUAGAAUGUAAUAAACAAAAUAAAAUA
rnacentral:misc_RNA from 1 species